UCCCUCUCAGAGUGGCACCUGGAGAGUUCCCAGUACUCUACCAGUCUCGACUAGAGGAGGGAGAGUCAGGCAGAGGUCUGCCCAUUCCGUUCCUAGCUUGGGCAGUGCCUAGCCAGGGGAAGGAAAUCUGCUACAAGU